rnacentral:rRNA from 2 species
AAACCAACAGGGAUUGCCUUAGUAGCGGCGAGUGAAGCGGCAAAAGCUCAAAUUUGAAAUCUGGCACUUUCAGUGUCCGAGUUGUAAUUUGAAGAAGGUAUCUUUGGGUCUGGCUCUUGUCUAUGUUUCUUGGAACAGAACGUCACAGAGGGUGAGAAUCCCGUGCGAUGAGAUGACCCAGACCUAUGUAAAGUUCCUUCGAAGAGUCGAGUUGUUUGGGAAUGCAGCUCUAAGUGGGUGGUAAAUUCCAUCUAAAGCUAAAUAUUGGCGAGAGACCGAUAGCGAACAAGUACAGUGAUGGAAAGAUGAAAAGAACUUUGAAAAGAGAGUGAAAAAGUACGUGAAAUUGUUGAAAGGGAAGGGCUUGAGAUCAGACUUGGUAUUUUGUAUGUUACUCUUUCGGGGGUGGCCUCUACAGUUUACCGGGCCAGCAUCAGUUUGGGCGGUAGGAGAAUUGCAAAGAAAUGUGGCACUGCUUCGGUAGUGUGUUAUAGUCUUUGUCGAUACUGCCAGCCUAGACUGAGGACUGCGGCUUCGGCCUAGGAUGUUGGCAUAAUGAUCUUAAGUCGC